rnacentral:rRNA from 1 species
GACGUAGGGCGCGAGCGUUGUCCGGAUUUAUUGGGCGUAAAGAGCUCGUAGGCGGCUUGUCGCGUCGAAUGUGAAAACCCACGGCUCAACUGUGGGCUUGCAUUCGAUACGGGCAGGCUAGAGUUCGGUAGGGGAGACGUGGAAUUCCUGGUGUAGCGGUGAAAUGCGCAGAUAUCAGGAGGAACACCAAUAGCGAAGGCAGCUCGCUGGGACGUUACUGACACUGAGGCGCGAAAGCGUGGGGGAGCGAACAGG